rnacentral:misc_RNA from 1 species
UAUAAGGAGGAAAGUGCUUGAUUGAAAACUCUGUUAGCCCAAGAGUUUGAAAUUAAGGAUUUGGGAAAGCUGCGGUAUUUCCUUGGAAUUGAGGUUGCUAGAUCUUAUAAAGGGAUUUUUAUCUCUCAAAGGAAAUACAUCCUGGAUCUUUUGGAAGAAACUGGCAUGUUAAGGUGUAAACCUGUAGACACUCCUAUUGAAACCAACCAUAAGUUACAGGCUGGUGUUGGUAAUUCAGUUGACAUGGGGAGAUAUCAAAGGUUGGUUGGGAGAUUAAUUUAUCUCUCACAUACUAGGCCAAAUAUAGCCUAUGCAGUAAGCCUAGUAAGUCAUUAUAUGCAUGAUCCUUGAGAAUCUCACUGGGAGGCUGUAUUCCGUAUUAUCAGAUAUCUAAAGUCUACACCUAGGAAAGAUUUGCUUUUCUCUAAGCGUGGUGGUCAUUUACAGAUAUAAGUUUUUAUAGAUGCAGAUUGGGAUGGUCCUCUUGACGACGGAAGGUCAACCUCGGGAUAUUGUACAUUUGUUGGAGGAAACCUUGUUACUUGGAGAAGCAAGAAACAGAGUGUGACUGCUAGAUCAAGUGUAGAAGCCGAGUAUAGAGCCAUGGCACAGGGAGUUUGUGAACUACU